rnacentral:rRNA from 1 species
UACGUAGGGCGCAAGCGUUGUCCGGAAUUAUUGGGCGUAAAGAGCUCGUAGGUGGCUUGUCGCGUCUGCCGUGAAAUCCUAUCGGCUUAACCGUGGGUCUGCGGUGGAUACGGGCUGGCUUGAGGUAGGUAGGGGCAAGCGGAAUUCCUGGUGUAGCGGUGAAAUGCGCAGAUAUCAGGAGGAACACCGGUGGCGAAGGCGGCUUGCUGGGCCUUACCUGACGCUGAGGAGCGAAAGCGUGGGGAGCGAACAGGAUUAGAAACCCCCGUAGUCC